GUUGACGCUGGAGCUUGCUCCAGCUGAUCAGUGGCGAACGGGUGAGUAACACGUGAGCAACCUGCCCUUGACUCUGGGAUAACCCCGGGAAACCGGAGCUAAUACCGGAUACGAACCGCACAGGCAUCUGCGUGGUUGGAAAGAUUUAUCGGUCAAGGAUGGGCUCGCGGCCUAUCAGCUUGUUGGUGGGGUAACGGCCCACCAAGGCGACGACGGGUAGCCGGCCUGAGAGGGCGACCGGCCACACUGGGACUGAGACACGGCCCAGACUCCUACGGGAGGCAGCAGUGGGGAAUAUUGCACAAUGGGCGAAAGCCUGAUGCAGCGACGCCGCGUGAGGGACGAAGGCCUUCGGGUUGUAAACCUCUUUCAGCAGGGAAGAAGCGAAAGUGACGGUACCUGCAGAAGAAGCACCGGCUAACUACGUGCCAGCAGCCGCGGUAAUACGUAGGGUGCAAGCGUUGUCCGGAAUUAUUGGGCGUAAAGAGCUCGUAGGCGGUCUGUCGCGUCUGCUGUGAAAACCUAGGGCUUAACCCUGGGCCUGCAGUGGGUACGGGCAGACUAGAGUGCGGUAGGGGAGACUGGAAUUCCUGGUGUAGCGGUGAAAUGCGCAGAUAUCAGGAGGAACACCGGUGGCGAAGGCGGGUCUCUGGGCCGUAA
rnacentral:rRNA from 1 species